rnacentral:rRNA from 1 species
UACGAAUGGAGCGAGCGUUGUUCGGAAUCACUGGGCGUAAAGCGUGCGCAGGCGGUCGUGAAAGUUAGAAGUGAAAUCCCAGGGCUCAACCUUGGAAUUGCUUUUAAAACUCCACGACUAGAGUACUGGAGGGGUUGGCGGAAUUUCGAGUGUAGCAGUGAAAUGCGUAGAUAUUCGAAGGAACACCGAUGGCGUAGGCAGCCAACUGGACAGUUACUGACGCUCAGGCACGAAAGUAUGGGGAGCAAACAGG